GGAGUCCCUCCCUCUAAAAGCACUCUGUGUGGGGAACAUGAGAGCCAGACCAAAGCUCAGAGGAACCAGCCUGGACCUCCACCCAUCUCUGUGUCCUUACAGAGUGACACGUCUAAAGAUGUCAUCAUUGUUUUUAAAGUCUCUGCUGCAGAGAGAGGGAGGAAGAGGAGUGGUGUUUGUGAGGAGGAGCAGCUGUCCUGCUGUGCUUUGUGUCAGGACGUCCUGAAGGAUCCAGUCUCUACCAGCUGUGGACACUGGUUCUGCAGACAGUGCAUCCCCUCAUACUGGGACCAGUCUGCUUCAUCAGGAGACUCCUUCUGUCCCCAGUGUGGAGAAAGAUCCAGAAGCAGAGCUGGACUGCAGACAGCCAGUCAGAGCAGCUGUGCACAAACAGAUGUUGGUCUGCAGGAGGUUUUAGAUGAACAUAAGAUCAGUCUGAGGAGGAGAUG